CGCGGGGUAGAGCAGUUUGGUAGCUCGUCGGGCUCAUAACCCGGAGGUCGUGAGGUUCAAAUCCCACCCCCGCUACCA
rnacentral:tRNA from 1 species